GCGGUGGCACAGCGGCAGGCGGCGGAGGCUCCGAGAGCUGGAGCUUGGACUGUCUCUAGCACGCCGGGGUACACCAGCUGACAGCCGGAGACGACCCAGCGGAGAACGCGGGGGCCGAGUUGCUGCCGCUGUCGCCGCCACGGGGCGCUCCCUCCCUUCCACCUGAGUCCGGCCACCUGGUCUUCCUCUCGGCCCCGGCCGCCGCAGGCUGGACAAAAUGAAACCAGGAGGCUUCUGGCCACAUCUCGCCCUGCUUGGGGUCUCCCUGCCAGCUGUGCUGGGAUGGAUGGACCUCGGAGCCAGCAGAAGCCCCAAUGUGGUUCUGAGAGAGUCCCAGGCAGAGGAAAUGAGAGACUUUGAAGUCACAAGAAGAGAAGGU